CCGUGGGCGCUGGAGAAUUGAGGGGGGCUGCUCCUAGUACGAGAGGACCGGAGUGGACGCAUCACUGGUGUUCGGGUUGUCAUGCCAAUGGCACUGCCCGGUAGCUAAAUGCGGAAGAGAUAAGUGCUGAAAGCAUCUAAGCACGAAACUUGCCCCGAGAUGAGUUCUCCCUGACUCCUUGAGAGUCCUGAAGGAACGUUGAAGACGACGACGUUGAUAGGCCGGGUGUGUAAGCGCAGCGAUGCGUUGAGCUAACCGGUACUAAUGAACCGUGAGGCUUAACCUU
rnacentral:rRNA from 1 species